CCUACGGGUGGCAGCAGUGAGGAAUAUUGGUCAAUGGACGAGAGUCUGAACCAGCCAAGUAGCGUGAAGGAUGACUGCCCUAUGGGUUGUAAACUUCUUUUAUAUGGGAAUAAAACGUUCCACGUGUGGGAUUUUGUAUGUACCAUAUGAAUAAGGAUCGGCUAACUCCGUGCCAGCAGCCGCGGUAAUACGGAGGGUCCGAGCGUUAUCCGGAUUUAUUGGGUUUAAAGGGAGCGUAGGUGGAUUGUUAAGUCAGUUGUGAAAGUUUGCGGCUCAACCGUAAAAUUGCAGUUGAAACUGGCAGUCUUGAGUACAGUAGAGGGGGGCGGAAUUCGUGGUGUAGCGGUGAAAUGCUUAGAUAUCACGAAGAACUCCGAUUGCGAAGGCAGUUCACUGGACUGCAACUGACACUGAGGUGCGAAAGUGUGGGUAUCAAACAGGAUUAGAUACCCUUGUAGUC
rnacentral:rRNA from 1 species